CUGACGCUGAGGCGCGAAAGCGUGGGGAGCGAACAGGAUUAGAUACCCUGGUAGUCCACGCGGUAAACGAUGAAUGUUAGGUGUUGCGGGUAUCGACCCCUGCAGUGCCGGAGUAAACACAAUAAACAUUCCGCCUGGGGAGUACGGCCGCAAGGUUGAAACUCAAAGGAAUUGACGGGGGCCCGCACAAGCAGCGGAGCAUGUUGUUUAAUUCGAAGCAACGCGAAGAACCUUACCAGGUCUUGACAUCCGAUUAAAGCCGUAGAGAUACGGUGUUCCUUCGGGAGAAUCGAGACAGGUGGUGCAUGGUUGUCGUCAGCUCGUGUCGUGAGAUGUUGGGUUAAGUCCCGCAACGAGCGCAACCCUUAUGGUCAGUUACUAACUCGUAGCGGUGAGGACUCUGACAAGACUGCCGGGGACAACUCGGAGGAAGGUGGGGACGACGUCAAAUCAUCAUGCCCCUUAUGACCUGGGCUACAAACGUGCUACAAUGGUGACAACAAAGAGGAGCGAGACCGUAAGGUGGAGCGGAUCUCAAAAAAGUCAUCCCAGUUCGGAUUGUGGGCUGCAACCCGCCCACAUGAAGUUGGAGUUGCUAGUA
rnacentral:rRNA from 1 species